GGAUGGAAGGGGGCAAAUUUAAGACCCACACUGCAACUUUGCACAAGAAAAAGAAAUGGUCUUCUGUGUCUGAAAAAAGACUUCAAAAAUGGCCCUCUCAACACUUGGAGAGUGAACAGCCUCAGGUAUCUGUGCGGAAGAAGAGGAGGAGGGAGUCGCAGACACCAGCCCAGGAGAGCUUAGAAAGUGAACAGCCUUGGAAAGCCAAGAAGAAGAAGAAGAGGAGGAGGGAGUCCCAGACACCAGCCCAGGAAAGCUUGGAGAGUGAGCAGACUCCAAUGUCUAUGCUAGGGAAAAGGAGGAGGGAGUCCCAGACACCAGCCCAGGAGAACUUGGAAAGUGAACAGCCUUGGAAAGCCAAGAAGAAGAAGAGGAGGAGGGAGUACCAGACACCAGCUGAGGAGAGCUUAGAGAGUGAGCAACCUUGGAAAGCCAAGAGAAAGAAGAAGAAGGAGAAGGAGUCCCAGCAGCUUACUUCUUCCCUUCUGAAAAAUUCAGAGACCUUCCAUAAAGCUAAAAAAACCACUGCUGCCCACAAAAAGAAAAAGAAUAGUGUUUGGGAGGUGGAUAUGGAAACUGGGAUCAUUCUUGUGGAUAAAGAAAACAUGGAGAACCUGCUAGAGACUUCUAGAAAGGAUGUGGAUAUUGUUUAUGUUGAUAUGAGCAAGGGACAAAGGUCAGCAAAAGUGA
rnacentral:lncRNA from 1 species